rnacentral:rRNA from 1 species
UACGUAGGGGGCUAGCGUUGUCCGGAAUCAUUGGGCGUAAAGCGCGCGUAGGCGGCCCGGUAAGUCCGCUGUGAAAGUCAAAGGCUCAACCUUUGAAUGUCAGCGGAUACUGCCGGGCUAGAGUCCGGAAGAGGCGAGUGGAAUUCCUGGUGUAGCGGUGGAAUGCGCAGAUAUCAGGAAGAACACCCGUGGCGAAAGCGGCUCUCUGGAACGGUACUGACGCUGAGACGCGAAAGCGUGGGGAGCGAACAGG